CGCACCUUGCGCUCCUUGGUAUUCCGAGGAGCAUGCCUGUUUGAGUGUCGUGAAAUCAUCAACUCCUUAUUGCUUUUUGUAAUGAGGAGCUUGGACUUGGAGACUGCUGGCCCGUAGGGUUCUGGCUUCUCUUGAAUGCAUUAGCUGAUAAUUGAUUUGCAGCAUAUAUGCGGUGUGAUAAUGUCUUCACUGUGUAGCUCAAGUCGCGAUUAGCUUCUAAUCGUCCUUCACGGGACAAUUCUUGAUCAUUAGACCUCAAAUCAGGUAGGACUACCCGCUGAACUUAA
rnacentral:misc_RNA from 1 species